UCUUUACAAUUAGGGGCGACAAGGUGAAUAAUAUGUUCAUACCCGGCCGGUUGUCAUAAACUCGAUAAUAAACAUGUCCUAGACAGUUGCAACCUAGACAUGAUUUUUUAUUUUCUUAAGUUUUUUGACCUUAUUAUUUCAAUCUUUGGAAGUGAAAAUCUUUGUAAAAAGUAACAAAUAGUGUGUGUGACUAUGAAAGACGAAGAGUAAUCAUGAGGGGUUGUACAAGAAUUAUAUGUAUACGGAUUGAAUAUGUGCUUGUGAUUAUAAAAGACGGAGAGUAAGCCUGCGGAUUUGUUACGGAGUUAUAAUUAUAAGUGCUUGUCGGACUCAGAGUAGAAUUGAGGAUCGACAUUGGAGUAAUUCUUGGAAAUGUUCUUAUUUAUUUUUAUGUGUAUAUUAGCUGCUGUGUCUCAAAGUGGGAUUAAUUCUUCCACCGCCACUGGAUGCUCGGAGAAGCGGCUGAAUAGUUUACAUAUAUCAAAUGAAAUUUGGACACAAUUUAUUAAAGUAAGACCGUAUAAAAGCUGCUCUACUUUUUCUUCUAAUGAAAGAUUAUAUUUUAUCAAGAAAUAAAGAAAAAGCCCCGCUAAAAAUGUCAACAUAUUUAGCAAAUCAAAUUUAAAAAAGAAAAGAGCCUCGUACAUAUAUCAUUGCUCCAGGUUCCACUCACGCAAAAAAAGCAGCCAUUGUCCCAAAACAUCAAAUCAAUGACUCAAUUAAGCACCUCUUACUUUGACUCCCUUAACCAUUGUAUUAUCACUUAUCAGUUGAUUUAAAUUUAAAUCGAUACAAGAUUUCUUAUAAUAUAAGUACUCUCGUUUUGUUAGAAA
rnacentral:lncRNA from 1 species